GAUGAACGCUAGCUACAGGCUUAACACAUGCAAGUCGCGGGGCAGCAUGGGGGUUGCUUGCACUCCCCGAUGGCGACCGGCGCACGGGUGAGUAACGCGUAUUCAACCUGCCCUUCACCACGGGAUAACCCGGCGAAAGUCGGACUAAUACCGUAUGUUGUCCAUUGACGGCAUCCGAUUUGGACGAAAGGCUUGGCGGUGAGGGAUGGGGAUGCGUCCGAUUAGCCAGACGGCGGGGUAACGGCCCACCGUGGCUACGAUCGGUAGGGGUUCUGAGAGGAAGGUCCCCCACACUGGAACUGAGACACGGUCCAGACUCCUACGGGAGGCAGCAGUGAGGAAUAUUGGUCAAUGGGCGUAAGCCUGAACCAGCCAAGUAGCGUGCAGGAUGACGGCCCUAUGGGUUGUAAACUGCUUUUAUGCGGGGAUAAAGUGGCCCACGGGUGGGCUUUUGCAGGUACCGCAUGAAUAAGGACCGGCUAAUUCCGUG
rnacentral:rRNA from 1 species